UAGGGAAUCUUCGGCAAUGGACGGAAGUCUGACCGAGCAACGCCGCGUGAGUGAAGAAGGUUUUCGGAUCGUAAAGCUCUGUUGUAAGAGAAGAACGAGUGUGAGAGUGGAAAGUUCACACUGUGACGGUAUCUUACCAGAAAGGGACGGCUAACUACGUGCCAGCAGCCGCGGUAAUACGUAGGUCCCGAGCGUUGUCCGGAUUUAUUGGGCGUAAAGCGAGCGCAGGCGGUUAGAUAAGUCUGAAGUUAAAGGCUGUGGCUUAACCAUAGUACGCUUUGGAAACUGUUUGACUUGAGUGCAAGAGGGGAGAGUGGAAUUCCAUGUGUAGCGGUGAAAUGCGUAGAUAUAUGGAGGAACACCGGUGGCGAAAGCGGCUCUCUGGCUUGUAACUGACGCUGAGGCUCGAAAGCGUGGGGAGCAAACAGGAUUAGAUACCCUGGUAGUCCACGCCGUAAACGAUGAGUGCUAGGUGUUAGACCCUUUCCGGGGUUUAGUGCCGCAGCUAACGCAUUAAGCACUCCGCCUGGGGAGUACGACCGCAAGGUUG
rnacentral:rRNA from 1 species